AUUGAACGCUGGCGGCAGGCCUAACACAUGCAAGUCGAACGAGUGGCGGACGGGUGAAUAAUGUCUGGGAAACUGCGCGAUGGAGGGGGAUAACUACUGGAAACGGUAGAUAAUCCCGCAUACCCUCGGGUGUGCCCAGAUGGGAUUAGCUAGUGGGUGGGGUAAUGGCUCACCUAGGCGACGAUCCCUAGCUGGUCUGAGAGGGUGACCAGCCACACUGGGACUGAGACACGGUCCAGACUCCUACGGGAGGCAGCAGUGGGGAAUAUUGCACAAUGGGCGCAUGCCUGAGGCAGCCAUGCCGCGUGUAUGAAGAAGGCCGGCGGGUUGUAAAGUACUUACAGUCGGGAGGCGUUACUCACAGAAGAAGCACCGGCUAACUCCGUGCCAGCAGCCGCGGUAAUUC
rnacentral:rRNA from 1 species